GCACAAAUCUAAAAAUUUCAAUUUUUUGUCCUCGGGUUUCCCUUUCUUAUUUCACUUCUUUUAUUUCCUUCCUUCUUCAUACCAACCGCCGCUGUCACCCUCUCUGGUCUCUCUCCACCACCACCGCCGCCCCCCUCUCCGGUCUCUCUCCACCACCUCCUUCUGAGUUGAAACGGGUGCGAUAUGUUGUGGAUUUUUCCGCAUGAAGAUGGUGGGCACUGGGCAUGGUUGUUGGUGGCGCUUAGCGAGACAAUUGGUAUGAAAAUGAGAAAGAUUGUGGUGAGUAUUGACAGAACUGUGCGGGAGGAACAGGGGCAUGCGUAUGAGGAUAAGGCUUUGCUUUUCAUUCUUCUACAAGAUUGAAAAAAGGGACCUUCUUCUUAUGCUUGUCUUUUAUGUCAUCGUUGAAUUCCAUUUUGGUGUUUAAAAAAUUAGGAGAUUCAUUUAUCAGCCAACGCCUCCCCCCACUUGCUCUUGCUUUCUCAUUAUUCGGGUAUUCUUCUUGCUUCUUCUGUUCCACCAUACCAAUAUUAUAUAUUCCAUCCUGGCUGCUGCUAUACCAUCUUUGGGAAGAAUAAUUGUUGAUGAUGAAGAUGUUAUAUUGUGUUGUUUUUUUUAAACCACAUAUUGUUUUGUUAAAUUCAAGUAAAUAUAUAAAAGGUAUAAAAGUAAUUUCAAUCAUAAAAUCUCUUCCCUCUCCUCAUGAAUCAAAUAAAAAUAAGUUAUUUUCCCUCCCCUCCCCUCCUAUGAACCAAACGUAAUAAGUAUUAAAAUCUCUCCCCUCCCUUCCCCUCCCCUCCCCUCCUCUCCUUUGAACCAAACAGGGGCUAAAGAACAAGAAGUCAACUUUUUUUACUGGCGUUAUUCAAUUUAAAAAGUAAACAAACAUGGACCAAACUUAUGAAUUUAAAAAAUUAUAUGACCAAAAUUGAAAUUAAGCGAAAAAACUUCAUAGCAUUUCAAAUUCGGGUAAUAUUUUGCCCGCCGCACCAAUUCUCUCUUGGCGCCCAAAUUCCGGAGACGGGAGAGAAUAGACCGGAGAAGCUCUUCCAGUUGCUGCUUCUUACCAGAAUGCCCUCUCCUCCGUUCUCAACUGAAUCUACUCUCCGCGGAACACAAUCUGGAAAUUCUCUGCACAAUCAUCGUCAACUUUCGAAUUUGCGGACCUAGGUCUUAUAAUUCAUGAUUUGAUCCUGAGAAGGACAGUUACUCGAAGAAAAGAUUGAAAAGCACGAUCGAGUUGGAUAAGAAUAGUGAGAUUAGAGUUUGAGAUGGCUUUGUUCACUUUCAGCAUCAGAGAUUGUGAGGCAUGCAGUCACAAUUUUCACUGCUUGUGCCUUGUCUCACAUAUUAUUUUGUGUUGGGUUGGAAUACCCUCUCUACUUCUCACUAAUAACUCUAUCACCAAGGCGACGUGAACAAGGCAGGUCGUGUGUCCUCCUGAUAGUGCAGCCGCAUUUUCCAACGUGCGCUUUCUCCUUUGCGAUCAACAUGAGGGCAUAUCUUGAGACUACACCACGCAGGUUGUCGUACAACUUCUCCUUAAAUGUAUGCUCUCUGAUGAAGAUACUUGUCUGAAAAGCAGCAUUAAUCCUUGUAUGCUAGAGAAGUGUGCACCUAUGUAUAGCUGCCCAAGCCGCACACAUGUCACUCUUGCUAUCUUUGAUGCACGCUUUCAGUUUUGCGUGUGCACCUUCAACCCUGUGCAAAGUUAUAACGUUAACAUUAAUACAUACUUAAUGAAUGUAGCAAACUUAUUGAAAUAUCGGUGUCUAAGAAUGUACCCGUUUGUAGUUGUGUUACCCAUGUGCAUAUAAAAGUCAAUCGCAUACCUCACAAACUUGUGCUUAAACGGCAACCAAGUUUCCUUAAUGUAAUU